rnacentral:rRNA from 1 species
CCUACGGGCGGCUGCAGUGAGGAAUAUUGGUCAAUGGGCGUAAGCCUGAACCAGCCAAGUCGCGUGCGGGAUGAAGGCUCUAUGGAUUGUAAACCUCUUUUAUAAGGGAAUAAAGCGCGGGACGUGUCCCGUUUUGUAUGUACCUUAUGAAUAAGGAUCGGCUAACUCCGUGCCAGCAGCCGCGGUAAUACGGAGGAUCCGAGCGUUAUCCGGAUUUAUUGGGUUUAAAGGGUGCGUAGGCGGCCUUUUAAGUCAGCGGUGAAAGUCUGUGGCUCAACCAUAGAAUUGCCGUUGAAACUGGGGGGCUUGAGAAUGUUGGAGGCAGGCGGAAUGCGUGGUGUAGCGGUGAAAUGCUUAGAUAUCACGCAGAACCCCGAUUGCGAAGGCAGCCUGCCAAGCCAUGACUGACGCUGAUGCACGAAAGCGUGGGGAUCAAACAGGAUUAGAUACCCCUGUAGUC